rnacentral:rRNA from 1 species
UACGGAGGGUGCAAGCGUUGUCCGGAAUCACUGGGCGUAAAGGGCGCGUAGGCGGCUCAUGAAGGCUGUGGUGAAAGUCCGGGGCUCAACCUCGGAUCGGCCGUGGCGACUCGUGGGCUGGAGCACUGUAGAGGCGGGUGGAAUUCCGGGUGUAGCGGUGGAAUGCGUAGAGAUCCGGAAGAACACCAGUGGCGAAGGCGGCCCGCUGGGCAGUGGCUGACGCUGAGGCGCGAAAGCGUC